rnacentral:ncRNA from 1 species
GAGGAGCGUCAGAAACUCCUCAAACCGUGUGUUAAUAGUUGUGUCUUUGGUCGGGCGCAACGGUUAGGGAAUC